UACGUAGGGCGCAAGCGUUUGUCCGGAAUUAUUGGGCGUAAAGAGCUCGUAGGCGGUUUGUCGCGUCUGCUGUGAAAACCUAAGGCUCAACCUUGGGCUUGCAGUGGGUACGGGCAGACUAGAGUGCGGUAGGGGGUGACUGGAAUUCCUGGUGUAGCGGUGGAAUGCGCAGAUAUCAGGAGGAACACCGAUGGCGAAGGCAGGUCUCUGGGCCGAUACUGACGCUGGAGGAGCGAAAGCGUGGGGAGCGAACAGG
rnacentral:rRNA from 1 species